GAUGAACGCUGGCGGCGUGCCUAAUACAUGCAAGUAGAACGCUGAAGGAGGAGCUUGCUCUUCUGGAUGAGUUGCGAACGGGUGAGUAACGCGUAGGUAACCUGCCUGGUAGCGGGGGAUAACUAUUGGAAACGAUAGCUAAUACCGCAUGACAACAGUUAUUGCAUGAUAACUGUUUAAAAGGGGCAACUGCUCCACUACCAGAUGGACCUGCGUUGUAUUAGCUAGUUGGUGAGGUAACGGCUCACCAAGGCGACGAUACAUAGCCGACCUGAGAGGGUGAUCGGCCACACUGGGACUGAGACACGGCCCAGACUCCUACGGGAGGCAGCAGUAGGGAAUCGUCGGCAAUGGACGGAAGUCUGACCGAGCAACGCCGCGUGAGUGAAGAAGGUUGUCGGAUCGUAAAGCUCUGUUGUAAGAGAAGAACGAGUGUGAGAGUGGAAAGUUCACACUGUGACGGUAUCUUACCAGAAAGGGACGGCUAACUACGUG
rnacentral:rRNA from 1 species